CUACUAUUCCCUCCGUCCGGAAAUACUUGUCAUCAAAAUGGAUAAAAGGGGAUGUAUCUAGACAUAUUUUAGUUCUACAUACAUCUCUUUUUAUCUAUUUUGAUGACAAGUAUUUUCGGACGGAGGGAGUACUUU
rnacentral:pre_miRNA from 1 species